rnacentral:misc_RNA from 1 species
CAAUGUUGUUAAAGGCAAGAAAAGGCAUUGGGCCGGGCUAGGCAAGGUGAGCCCCCAACGCCUCGCCUAGCUGAGGCGAGUCCAUUACAAAUAGGCGAUCCUGAUAUUGGUUAGGCCAGGGGCGAUGGGCGAUGCAUGGGGCAAAUAACAUACAUUUCAUUUUUUUUCAAAUAGCAUAAUGAUGCAGAUUAUAUUCCUAAAGAUUUUAGGAGUACCCACUUUAGGAAAAAAUAUAAAAAAUAAGAAUUUUUAGAGAUUUUUGUGUAUCCCACAUUGGAUUAGACAUAACACCCUCACUUUAGGUAGUCCGUAUAUUCUACUGUUCCGAUGACUAACGUCUGUUCGGACA